rnacentral:rRNA from 1 species
GUGCCAGCAGCCGCGGUAAGACGGGGAUGCAAGCGUUAUUCGGAAUUAUUGGGCGUAAAGCGUCUGUAGGUGGUGAGGAAAGUGUUUUGUUAAAGAUCAGGGCUCAACCCUGGGAAAGCAAGGCAAACUAUCUCACUUGAGUUCGGUAGGGGCAGAGAGAAUUCCCAGUGUAGCGGUGAAAUGCGUAGAUAUUGGGAGGAAGACCGGUGGCGAAGGCGUUCUGCUGGGCCGUAACUGACACUGAGAGACGAAAGCUAAGGGAGCAAAUAGGAUUAGAUACCCUAGUAGUCUUAGCUGUAAACGAUGCACACUAUGCUUUGCAAUUUGCAGAGCAAAAGCUAACGCGUUAAGUGUGCCGCCUGGGGAGUACAUUCGCAAGGAUGAAACUCAAAGGAAUUGACGGGGACCCGCACAAGCGGUGGAGCAUGUGGUUUAAUUCGAUGCAACGCGAAGAACCUUACCAAGAAUUGACAUGCUGCGAACGUUUACGAAAGUAAAAAGUCUAUUAACUUAGUUAAUAGCGCAGACACAGGUGGUGCAUGGUUGUCGUCAGCUCGUGCCGUGAGGUGUUGGGUUAAGUCCCGCAACGAGCGCAACCCUUGUCUUUAGUUAUAAUCUAGAGAGACUGCCGGUGAUAAACCGGAGGAAGGUGAGGAUGACGUCAAAUCAGCAUGCCCCUUACAUCUUGGGCGACUCACGUGCUACAAUGGUCGAGACAAAGAGAUGCUACCCUGCGAAGGCAAGCUAACCUC